rnacentral:rRNA from 1 species
UACGUAGGGGGCAAGCGUUGUCCGGAUUCAUUGGGCGUAAAGAGCGUGUAGGCGGCCAGGUAGGUCGGUUGUGAAAACUGGAGGCUCAACCUUCAGAGGUCGACCGAAACCAUCUGGCUAGAGUCCGGGAGAGGAGAGUGGAAUUCCUGGUGUAGCGGUGAAAUGCGCAGAUAUCAGGAAGAACACCCGUGGCGAAAGCGGCUCUCUGGAACGGUACUGACGCUGAGACGCGAAAGCGUGGGGAGCGGACGGG